UGGUGAUGAUGAUAAUGCUGCCGAUUAUGAAAAGAUGUGGUGUGAUGCUUGCAUCAGGCCCAUCGAUUCUGAUCCAUUCUUCAAAUGUGUGGAAUGCAAGUUCUUCCUUCAUAA
rnacentral:sRNA from 1 species